GUCAGUCGAGGUUACUACCAGAAGGGACUAAAGAUCUCUCAGGGGAAGUAAAACACAUUAAUAAAGACAGUCUUUAAAAGGAAGUGUUCCCCAACCUUUCAGCAGUAAAGCUGUCUGAACAGGGCUAAGAAAAUCCUUCACAUGAAAACAGCUGAGGAGCAGAGGCUCCAGGAGAAGUUUUCCAGUGAUUGAUGGAACGUAACCUUGAAAGUCUACCUCGUCAGUUCUUGAGAUUGGGGUUCUUCAGGCUUCAUCCCGGCUUAUUUCCCUGCUGGAAAUCAGAGAUAGAAACAAAUGAAGCAUCAGGUUGAAAACAGAAGUGCAAAACAGUCACAGGAAACACAACCCAUACAUCACACCAGCAGCCGGAGGAAAGCCCCUGCCCACCAGAGAUGACCAGGCAACAAGCCCUGGCCAGGCAACUCUCACACCUUUCCCAGCUUCGUGGAUAAUUAAGAAACAGUGGUGACCUAGUACCUAGGAACUAAUCAGAACGUAGAGUAAUAACUGUUUUUCCAACCACGGAUCUUGGUAGGAGCUUCUCAGAGGUGAUCCUUGUCACCCGUCAGAAAUGGUUGCCUCUCAUUAUCAAGAAACAGAAGGAGAAACAAAACGACCAGUGAACUCACCAUCCACUCAGGCAUGUGAAAAGCUGAGGUGCCCUCAUUACCGUCCCACUUCUCCAUAGUGCAGGCUUGGGUAAGAUAUGUCCUGAAGCAAAAGGGAAAGCUGGUUUGGAAAUACUGGGGUUAUCUGAGUGCCCCAAAGCAGACCCAACCCUAGUGAGAUUCAGAAGUUCACAGUGGCUAGCAGAAGCUGCAUCCCUUUUCACAGCAGCCUCCGAUUCAAAUCAAGAGCAUUAG
rnacentral:lncRNA from 1 species